GGGAAUUCUGAUCCAAAGGUGAUGCAUUCAUACUCUGUUGCCUUGGAUAAAUGUUUUUCUUCUGCAAAUUAGUUCAGCUGCCUUUGAAAGCAAGUAACCAGUAUCUACAACUUCCCACAGCUGCCCCUCCUCUGUGAGAAGAAUCUUGUGCUGAGCUACAUCUUGCUUGCACCAAGCACUCCGUCAUGCCAAAGGGGGAAUGCUCUGGGGAAGAAAGACUACAGAGUGGUCUGUGCUGUGUGCAAGUGUGUUCCUGCUGAGAGAACUGUGAGGUGUAAUGUCCUCCCUCUUUGAUGGAUGGAGCUCAUUUCCUUCAACUGUGAAAUCUAAUAUCUCUGGAAGAAAAAUCUGUAUGGGAUUAGACACAGACAUUUGUUCUGUAUGGUUUGAAGAGGUGUGAAGGAUUUGUGGAUCUCUGAUUAUAUUUUCAUGCUUGAAAUUUGCUGCUUUGUGUUAAAAAGAGUUGUGCUUGUGCAUAGAAUCAUAGAAUCAUUAAAGCUGGAAAAGACCAC
rnacentral:lncRNA from 1 species